rnacentral:rRNA from 1 species
GAUGAACGCUGGCGGCGUGCUUAACACAUGCAAGUCGAGCGAAGCGGCUGAAUUGAUUCUUCGGAUGAUUUUCAGUUGACUGAGCGGCGGACGGGUGAGUAACGCGUGGGUGACCUGCCCCAUACCGGGGGAUAACAGCUGGAAACGGCUGCUAAUACCGCAUAAGCGCACGAAGCUGCAUGGCUUUGUGUGAAAAACUCCGGUGGUAUGGGAUGGGCCCGCGUCUGAUUAGGCAGUUGGCGGGGUAACGGCCCACCAAACCGACGAUCAGUAGCCGGCCUGAGAGGGCGACCGGCCACAUUGGGACUGAGACACGGCCCAAACUCCUACGGGAGGCAGCAGUGGGGAAUAUUGCACAAUGGGGGAAACCCUGAUGCAGCGACGCCGCGUGAGCGAAGAAGUAUUUCGGUAUGUAAAGCUCUAUCAGCAGGGAAGAUAAUGACGGUACCUGACUAAGAAGCCCCGGCUAACUACGUGCCAGCAGCCGCGGUAGUACGUAGGGGGCAAGCGUUAUCCGGAUUUACUGGGUGUAAAGGGAGCGUAGACGGCAAGGCAAGUCUGAUGUGAAAACCCAGGGCUUAACCCUGGGACUGCAUUGGAAACUGUCUGGCUCGAGUGCCGGAGAGGUAAGUGGAAUUCCUAGUGUAGCGGUGAAAUGCGUAGAUAUUAGGAAGAACACCGGUGGCGAAGGCGGCUUACUGGA